rnacentral:rRNA from 1 species
UACGGAGGAUCCGAGCGUUAUCCGGAAUCAUUGGGUUUAAAGGGUCCGUAGGCGGGCGCAUAAGUCAGGGGUGAAAGUUUGCCGCUCAACGGUAAAAUUGCCUUUGAUACUGUGUGCCUUGAAUGGCGGUGAAGUGGCUAGAAUGUGCAGUGUAGCGGUGAAAUGCUUAGAUAUUGCACAGAAUACCGAUUGCGAAGGCAGGCCACUAACCGUCCAUUGACGCUGAUGGACGAAAGCGUGGGGAGCGAACAGG